CCUUCGAUAGCUCAGUUGGUAGAGCGGUGGACUGUAGAAAUGAAUUCCAAGUAGAAAUCCAUAGGUCGCUGGUUCAAAUCCGGCUCGAAGGA
rnacentral:tRNA from 1 species